GGUGCAGCUGCGGGGCCCGGGACUUGAUGGGCUCCUGCGGGACAGGGACUGUGACCCAGACCCCCUGCCAGGCCCAGGACUGAGGGGACCCAAACCCUCAGCUAGGCCCAGGCCUUGGUGAUUCAGCCUCUUGGCCUGGCCUGGGGGCGGGGGACAUGGAGUGGGGAUCACACUUACCAGUUUGAUAGCCACGUACUCGUUUGUGUACAGGUUCUUUCCUAGGGGGAGGGGGGGUUGGGCAAAGAGGCCAUCAGGAUGGCAGGCCCACCCUCCCCAGAGCCCAUGUACACUCUUCAGGGCGCCUUCCCACUAGCAUAUACCCCCCAAUGGUUAGUCACCUUGAUACCCCCUCCCCAUGGCUAAGGAGCCUGGCCAGAAGUCCCUGCUGUUCAUGGGCCGUACGAUAUACCAGCCCUGCCUCCAGGAGGAAGAAAUUAGCUUGUCCUGAACAGUGGGGUGAGGAGCCCUGCACCCAAGGGGUCAGGAACACAGCUACCCCCUCCAAGAGGAGGUAGCCCAGCCCUCUACCCCACCCUGUCAGGGCUGGCUGAGAAGGAGGAGGAGGCGCUCAGCCCCCAGUAUUGCCACACCUGCCCAGUGAGGGUGAUGCCUCAGUGCCUGAGCCAUGGGAGUGGCCCAGCCCCAGAAAGGGUGCAGCCCCCUUGCAGGUGUCUCAACUGCCAUAUCCAGGCAGACCCCAGGCUGCCAUCUCCAGAACCAUGAUAUACCUUUGCAGUGUCACCCUACAUGAGUACAUUCAUGCCACCCACCCGGAAGGCCAUUUCCAGCCCCAUGCCACCUUCAUCCUGCCUCCCAUCACCACAGGAAGCCUUGAGAGAGACCUGGCUGUGAUGGCUCUGACUGUUCUACUGUCCAGAUCAGCCUUCAAAGCUAGCCAUCAGCUUGCCAGUGUCCCCAUGGGGCCGACAGGGACCUCACUGGCCUGCAGAUUGCUGAGGCGAAGCUGACCCAGGAACACCUUCAUCUCUAGUGACCCAGCCAGGGAGCUCUCAGCAUGCACCAUGUCCCUGCCGAAGUGGCCAGGCUAUGGCCUACGCUCAAGGGCCCUCACUCUGCUCCUCACCCUGCAGCCAUGUUGGCUGUCUGUCCAUUUGUGGCCCUGUGACUCAUGGAAGGGAGUGAAGUGUCACGCCUCUGUGCCACAGCUGACUGUCUAAACCCUCUGCCCAGACUGGAAAUCUCUUUAUCACUGAUGUCCAGCAAAGCAGGUUCUGC